rnacentral:misc_RNA from 1 species
CGCCGAAGGUGGGGCUGAUGACUGGGGUGAAGUCGUAACAAGGUAGCCGUACCGGAAGGUGCGGCUGGAUCACCUCCUAACAGGGAGACAACAACUGAUUUUGAUGUCUGAGUUUUUAGUCUUAGGCCAAGAUCCUGUCACCUUAGGUCGAUCGGUACCUCAGAUUGAGAUACAAAUAAUAUGUUUGAAAUUUUCAGCAUAAAGAUUUGGCAAUCAAUUUCAGUUCCUAAACUUGUCUAGGUCACACCCCGCAAGGGUUACUCCUGGGCCAUUAGCUCAGGUGGUUAGAGCGCACCCCUGAUAAGGGUGAGGUCCCUGGUUCAAGUCCAGGAUGGCCCAUUCGGUGUUGGGGGUUUAGCUCAGUUGGUAGAGCGCCUGCUUUGCAAGCAGGAUGUCAGCGGUUCGAGUCCGCUAACCUCCACUGACCGAACUCCUCAAUUAUCAAAAUAGUGAGGAACGUUUUGCGUGUGAUUUAGACUUACUGUCCACUGAAGUAGAACCUAGCUUCCUAUCAUUCCAAAAUCUCAAAAUAAAUAGAGAUGGUUGACAGGACGCUGGGCUCUCUGCGAUUUCAAAAAUUCGCAGAAUGUUCAGUAGAACCUUGACAACUGCAUAGGUGAGUCUGGAAAGAAUAAAGCAUCUCAUGGAUGCAAUUUCCUUUUCUUUGAUCUCAAUUGCUUAAAUAAUUAGCUAUUUGAUGAUUGAUUAAGAGAAAAUUGUCUAAUUCUUGAGCAAGAGCCGAGACUCUAUAUUGUACUUUUAAUGAAAAAAAAUCACUAAGAGUCUGAUUAGCUUUUCAAACCAAACUUAAAAACUAAAUAACAGUUUCGAUUGUUAUUUUAAACUUAAGUUAAGGUGAAUUCUAAGAAUACGUUUUAAAUAACGUUUUUCAAUAUAGAGGUUAAUUUGGUCAAGCUACAAAGGGCUCACG